UUGCAUAUCAAUAAGCGGAGGAAAAGAAACCAACAGGGAUUGCCUCAGUAACGGCGAGUGAAGCGGCAACAGCUCAAAUUUGAAAUCUGGCCCCAGGCCCGAGUUGUAAUUCGCAGAGGAUGCUUUUGGCGCGGUGCCUUCCGAGUUCCCUGGAACGGGACGCCAUAGAGGGUGAGAGCCCCGUACGGUUGGACACCAAGCCUUUGUAAAGCUCCUUCGACGAGUCGAGUAGUUUGGGAAUGCUGCUCAAAAUGGGAGGUAUAUUUCUUCUAAAGCUAAAUAUUGGCCAGAGACCGAUAGCGCACAAGUAGAGUGAUCGAAAGAUGAAAAGCACUUUGAAAAGAGGGUUAAACAGCACGUGAAAUUGUUAAAAGGGAAGCGCUUAUGACCAGACUUGCGCCCGGUGAAUCACCCAGCUCUCGCGGCUGGGGCACUUUGCCGGCUCAGGCCAGCAUCAGCUCGCUGUCGGGGACAAAAGCUUCGGGAACGUAGCUCUCUUCGGGGAGUGUUAUAGCCCGUUGUAUAAUACCCUUCGGCGGGCUGAGGUACGCGCUCCGCAAGGAUGCUGGCAUAAUGGUCAUCA
rnacentral:rRNA from 1 species